GGCAGCCGCGGUAAUUCCAGCUCCAAUAGCGUAUAUUAAAGUUGUUGCAGUUAAAAAGCUCGUAGUUGAAUUUCGGAAUCUGUCCAUCGGUCGGGCUUCACUGUUCGUACUGGUGUGGUGGGUUCUUACCUUCUGAAUAACCAGCAUGCCAUUAAUUUGGUGCGUUGGGGAAGCAGGACUAUUACCUUAGAAAAAAUUAGAGUGCUCAAAGCAGGCCAGUGCCUGAAUACAUUAGCAG
rnacentral:rRNA from 1 species